rnacentral:tRNA from 1 species
GAGGGUGUAGCUCAAGUGGUAGAGCACAUGCUUAGCAUACACAGGGUCCUGGGUUCAAUCCCCAGUACCCCCU